rnacentral:rRNA from 1 species
GGGGGGGGGGGGGGGGGGGGGGGGGGGGGGGAGGGCGAGCGGUGGGGGGAGGGGUGGUUGCGGGGUCUGGGUGGGUGGCGAACGGGUGGGUAACACGGGAGUAACCUGCCCCCUUCUUCUGGAUAACCGCAUGAAAGUGUGGCUAAUACGGGAUAUUCUGCGCCUGCUGCGUGGUGGGUGGGGGACAGGUAUUGUUUGGGUGGGGGAUGGGCUCGCGGCCUAUCAGCUUGUUGGUGGGGUGGUGGCCUACCAAGGCGGUGCCGGGUAGCCGGCCUGAGAGGGUGGACGGCCACAAUGGGACUGAGACACGGCCCAGACUCCUACGGGAGGCAGCAGUGGGGAAUAUUGCACAAUGGGCGCAAGCCUGAUGCAGCGACGCCGCGUGAGGGAUGGAGGCCUUCGGGUUGUAAACCUCUUUCGCCAGUGAAGCAGGCCUGUCCCUUUUGUGGGUGGGUUGACGGUAGCUGGAUAAGAAGCGCCGGCUAACUACGUG